CAGUAGCCGCGGGAAUACGUAGGUGGCAAGCGUUGUCCGGAAUUAUUGGGCGUAAAGGGCUCGCAGGCGGUUUCUUAAGUCUGAUGUGAAAGCCCCCGGCUAACCGGGGAGGGUCAUUGGAAACUGGGAAACUUGAGUGCAGAAGAGGAGAGUGGAAUUCCACGUGUAGCGGUGAAAUGCGUAGAGAUGUGGAGGAACACCAGUGGCGAAGGCGACUCUCUGGUCUGUAACUGACGCUGAGGAGCGAAAGCGUGGGGAGCGAACAGGAUUAGAUACCCCGGUAGUCCCUGUCUCUUAUACC
rnacentral:rRNA from 1 species